UACGGAGGGUGCGAGCGUUGUCCGGAAUCAUUGGGCGUAAAGAGCGUGUAGGCGGCUUGGAAAGUCUUACGUGAAAGCCUGCGGCUCAACCGCAGAAGUGCGUAGGAAACUUCCUCGCUAGAGUCCGGAAGAGGAGAGUGGAAUUCCUGGUGUAGCGGUGAAAUGCGCAGAUAUCAGGAAGAACACCAAUGGCGAAGGCAGCUCUCUGGGACGGUACUGACGCUGAGACGCGAAAGCGUGGGGAGCGAACAGG
rnacentral:rRNA from 1 species